AGUUGCAGAUGUACGAAUAACGGGAGGAAAAGGGAUGUUGAGGACAAGGAAGUUGAGGACCAGGAAGACGAGGACCAGGCUGGUGAGGACCAGGAUGAUCAGGGAGAAAACUGGGGUCCAAAAGAAAUGUUUAACACGAUUGAUACAGACGGAGAUGGUUAUAUAAACGUGGAUGAGUUCAGCAAUGUCCUACAGGGAUACACAGAUAUUAACGCUGCAUUUGACGACAUGGACGCCAAUGAUGACGGCAAGAUUGAUCGCAAAGAGUUCGACCCUGAUCUGCAAUAGCUCUGAAAAAGGACUACAAACAGUGUUUCACGUUUUCCUCCCUUUAUUGACAUUAGAAAUAUACCUUUAUAUCACAUGGAAUGAACUUUGGAAUUUCUUGGUAAAUUAGAAUGUGGAAUUAUGUGAAAUAAAAUGAUAGUGCUGUUUAUGUGAAAUUCA